rnacentral:rRNA from 1 species
UGGGGAAUAUUGGGCAAUGGGCGAAAGCCUGACCCAGCAACGCCGCGUGAGGGAAGAAGGUCUUCGGAUUGUAAACCUCUGUCCUAUGGGACGAAACAAAUGACGGUACCAUAGGAGGAAGCCCCGGCUAACUACGUGCCAGCAGCCGCGGUAAUACGUAGGGGGCAAGCGUUGUCCGGAAUUACUGGGCGUAAAGGGUGCGUAGGCGGUUGCCUAAGUCAGAUGUGAAAUCCCCGGGCUUAACUCGGGUGGUGCAUUUGAAACUGGGUGGCUAGAGUGCAGGAGAGGGAAGCGGAAUUCCUAGUGUAGCGGUGAAAUGCGUAGAUAUUAGGAGGAACACCAGUGGCGAAGGCGGCUUUCUGGACUGUAACUGACGCUGAGGCACGAAAGCGUGGGGAGCAAACA